ACAAACUUGGUCAUUUAGAGGAAGUAAAAGUCGUAACAAGGUUUCCGUAGGUGAACCUGCGGAAGGAUCAUUAAUAUAGAUCUUUAUGAUCUUAGUGUUCUGCUGAACUACUGGAUUAGGACGAACUGCCGUCACAUUCCGGACUGGCUUGUAGAGAGGCCUGAUCAUGGUUGCUGCUUAUAUAGGUUGAAUUUCUCAGCUUCGUGCAUAGUACCUUCUCCUCAAGCGGCCGUCAUAGAACAGGUACUCGCCCAGUCGCGGAUUGCUACGACGUUCAUCUUAGCAGUAGUUUAGCAUCUCCGGUCAUAUCGAUCCUGUAAACGCGGGUCGAUGUGGCUGGAUAAACACGCUGCUUCGGUAUGCUAAAACAUGCCGAAGCAGCACCCACACUCGAAUUACAUUAGUCUGAUUAUUAUAAAGAAAAUUCUUAAAACUUUCAACAACGGAUCUCUUGGUUCUCGCAUCGAUGAAGAACGCAGC
rnacentral:misc_RNA from 1 species